GGCGGGGCCUGGGCGGGGUUAUAUAAGCCAGCGGCGGGCGGAAGGCGGGGCGAGGGGUCGGUGGCUGCUGGGCUGGCGGGGCGCAGGCCGCGGGACCCGAGCCCGGGGGAGCGAGAGAGCGGAGGCGCCGAGGAUCCGAUUCAUUCGCUGGGGAGACCUAUGGGCCGAAGCCGUGUAGAUGCGUUUUAAGGGGCCUCGGCUCCGCAACUGCCACUCCUCCUCGGGGUGUUGCACAAGUUUCGAGGUCACCGGCGACCCCCCCUAGCAGCGCUCCUGGCUCUGGCCCCCGCGAAGGAGGACGGAGUUUGUGUGUUGCAUACUUUCUAAGGCGGCGGCUGCAGCAGCGGCUCCAUCCAGCCCGUCAGCUCCUCCUGCAAGGCAUGGCUGGCUACCUGAGUGAAUCGGACUUUGUGAUGGUGGAGGAGGGCUUCAGUACCCGAGACCUGCUGAAGGAACUCACUCUGGGGGCCUCACAGGCCACCACGGCAGAGAUGGAGUUGGUCCAGCAUAUUGGAAUCCCUGCCAGUAAGAUCAUCUGCGCCAACCCCUGUAAGCAAAUUGCACAGAUCAAAUAUGCUGCCAAGCAUGGGAUCCAGCUGCUGAGCUUUGACAAUGAGAUGGAGCUGGCAAAGGUGGUAAAGAGCCACCCCAGUGCCAAGAUGGUUCUGUGCAUUGCUACUGAUGACUCCCACUCCCUGAGCUGCCUGAGCCUAAAGUUUGGAGUGUCACUGAAAUCCUGCAGACACCUGCUUGAAAAUGCGAAGAAGAACCAUGCGG
rnacentral:sRNA from 1 species